GGCUGAGCAUCACAUUUGCUAGGAGAAUAGUGCUUAACUCGAAGGACUGUUUUCAGCAAUGUGGAAGCCUAGUUGUUUAUGUUUGGGAAGUGAUUUAAUGGUUUUAAGAUAAACAGAAGGUGGACCAAGGGAAAUUGUUGUAGGUAGUAAAGUUGGAUGGCAUCCAUUGACUCUAAAUUUUUGAGUAUUCUGUCUAGAGGAGGAUGGUAUGAAUAAUUCACUUACUUGUAACAAAUAUUGCUUCUAGGAUUGGUAUGGGAGUGGGAUAUGUGGAACUAGUGAUGUAGAACAAGAAGAACAAAG
rnacentral:misc_RNA from 1 species